AUGGAGGGCGAGGGAGAGCGCGCCGCGGCUCCGGCGGCCCCGGCCCCGGCGGCGGCGGCCGCCGCGGAGGUGAGCAACCCGAGGUGCUACUUCGACGUCAGCAUCGGCGGCGAGAUGGAGGGCCGGAUCGUGAUGGAUCUCUACGCCUCCGUGGUGCCGCGCACGGCCGAGAACUUCCGCGCGCUCUGCACCGGGGAGAGGGGCGUCAGCGCCGCCACCGGCACGCGGCUCCACUACAAGGGCUCAUCUUUUCAUCGUAUCAUCAAGGGUUUUAUGGUGCAAGGUGGAGAUAUAACUGCUGGUGAUGGAACUGGGGGCGAGUCAAUAUAUGGAUUGAAUUUUGAGGAUGAGAAUUUUGUUUUGAAGCAUGAGAGGAAAGGGAUGUUAUCAAUGGCAAAUUCUGGUCCCAACACAAAUGGAUCUCAGUUUUUCAUCACUACCACCCGAACACCACACCUUGAUGGGAAACAUGUUGUCUUCGGGAGGGUUGUAAAAGGGAUGGGAGUGGUUCGUGCAAUGGAGCAUGUUUGUGCUGGAGAAGCUGACCUUCCAACUGAUGAUAUUGUUAUUGUUGAUUGUGGGGAACUGCCAGAAGGUUCAACUGAAGGAGUUGCAAAUUUCUUCAAAGAUGGCGAUAUGUAUCCUGAUUGGCCUAUUGACCUCGAUGAAAAGCCUGCAGACGUUUUGUGGUGGAUUAAUGCCGUUGAUUCUGCAAAGUCUUUCGGGAAUGAAAAUUUUAAGAAACAUGAUUACAAGGCUGCACUCAGAAAGUACAGAAAAGCUAUGCGGUAUUUAGAUAUUUGCUGGGAGAAAGAAGAGAUAGAUCAAGAGAACAGCUCAGCCCUGCGGAAAACAAAGUCAAUUAUACUCACAAAUAGUUCUGCAUGCAAACUGAAGCUGGGAGAUGUGGAGGGUGCUUUGUUAGAUGCAGACUUUGCACUGCGUGAAACGGAGGGCAACGCAAAAGCUUUUUUCCGUCAAGGACAGGCACGCAUGGCACUCAAGAAUAUCGAUGCUGCAGUUGAGAGCUUCCAGCGUGCGUUGGAGUUGGAGCCAAACGAUGGAGGAAUCAAACGGGAGCUGGCUGCUGCAAAGAAGAAGGUUACUGACAGACGUAAUCUGGAGCGGAAGGCAUUUUCCAAGAUGUUCGAGACGUCAGGAAGUUCAGAGAAAAGUGAUGAAGUAUUGGCAGCAAGUUCAGAGAAAAGUGAUGAAGAUAAAAACUGA
rnacentral:rRNA from 1 species